UACGUAGGGUCCGAGCGUUAAUCGGAAUUACUGGGCGUAAAGCGCGCGCAGGCGGUCCUUCAAGUCAGAGGUGAAAGCCCAGGGCUCAACCCUGGAACUGCCUUUGAAACUGGAGGACUUGAGUACGGGAGAGGUGAGUGGAAUUCCGAGUGUAGAGGUGAAAUUCGUAGAUAUUCGGAAGAACACCAGUGGCGAAGGCGGCUCACUGGCCCGUUACUGACGCUCAGGCGCGACAGCGUGGGGAGCAAACAGG
rnacentral:rRNA from 1 species